UACGUAGGGGGCUAGCGUUGUUCGGAUUUACUGGGCGUAAAGCGCACGUAGGCGGAUCGUUAAGUCGGGGGUGAAAUCCUGGAGCUCAACUCCAGAACUGCCUUCGAUACUGGCGAUCUCGAGUCCGGAAGAGGUGAGUGGAACUCCUAGUGUAGAGGUGGAAUUCGUAGAUAUUAGGAAGAACACCAGUGGCGAAGGCGACUCACUGGUCCGGUACUGACGCUGAGGAGCGAAAGCAUGGGGAGCGAACAGG
rnacentral:rRNA from 1 species